CCUACGGGAGGCAGCAGUGAGGAAUAUUGGUCAAUGGUCGGAAGCCUGAACCAGCCAAGUAGCGUGCAGGAUGACGGCCCUACGGGUUGUAAACUGCUUUUAUACGGGAAUAACGCGCGUUACGUGUAGGGCUUUGUAUGUACCGCAUGAAUAAGGACCGGCUAAUUCCGUGCCAGCAGCCGCGGUAAUACGGAAGGUCCGGGCGUUAUCCGGAUUUAUUGGGUUUAAAGGGAGCGUCGGCCGCAUGUUAAGCGUGCUGUGAAAUGGCGGGGCUCAACCCGGGCCCUGCGGCGCGAACUGGCGUGCUUGAGUCCGCGGAAGGCAGGCGGAAUUCGUCGUGUAGCGGUGAAAUGCUUAGAUAUGACGAAGAACCCCGAUUGCGAAGGCAGCUUGCUGCAGCGGAACUGACGCUGAUGCUCGAAGGCGCGGGUAUCGAACAGGAUUAGAUACCCGGGUAGUC
rnacentral:rRNA from 1 species